CGAUGGGUAGCCGACCUGAGAGGGUGACCGGCCACACUGGGACUGAGACACUGCCCAGACUCCUACGGGAGGCUGCAGUCGAGAAUCAUCCGCAAUGGGCGAAAGCCUGACGGUGCGACGCCGCGUGGAGGAAGAAGGCCUUCGGGUUGUAAACUCCUGUCACGGGUUAAGAAACGCACGGGGGUAACGCUUCGUGCUUGACGAAACCGAAAGGAAGCCACGGCUAACUCCGUGCCAGCAGCCGCGGUAACACGGAGGUGGCGAGCGUUGUUCGGUAUCACUGGGCUUAAAGGGGGCGCAGGCGGCCCUGUAAGUCGGUAUGUGAAAUCCCUCGGCCCAACCGAGGAAUUGCGUCCGAUACUGCAGAGCUAGAGGCUCGUAGGGGAGAGUGGAAUUCCUGGUGUAGCGGUGAAAUGCGUAGAUAUCAGGAGGAACGCCAGUGGCGAAGGCGACUCUCUGGGCGAGACCUGACGCUGAGGCCCGAAAGCCAGGGGAGCGAACAGGAUUAGAUACCCUGGUAGUCCUGGCUGUAAACGAUGGGCACUACGUAGGGGGGGCUUCGGUUCCCUCUGCCUAAGCAAAAGUAUUAAGUGCCCCGCCUGGGGAGUAUGGUCGCAAGGCUGAAACUCAAAGUAAUUGACGGGGGCUCACACAAGCGGUGGAGGAUGUUGUUUAAUUCGAAACAACGCGAAGAACCUUACCGGGGCUUGAACUGCACGGAUUAUCUCUGUGAAAGCAGAGUACGCCCUAUCGGGUGGAACGUGUAGAGGUGUUGCAUGGCUGUCGUCAGCUCGUGUCGUGAGAUGUCGGGUUAAGUCCCAUAACGAGCGAAACCCUUGUCCCUAGUUGCCAGCACCUCGGGUGGGGACUCUAGGGAGACUGCCGGUGUUAAACCGGAGGAAGGUGGGGAUGACGUCAAGUCAGCAUGGCCCUUAUGUCCCGGGCUACAAACGUCCUACAAUGGGCGGUACAAAGGGAACCGAAGCCGUGAGGCAGGGGAAAUCCCCUAAAGCCGUCCUCAGUUCGGAUUGCAGGCUGCAAUUCGCCUGCAUGAAGCUGGAAUCGCUAGUAAUCGCGGAUCAGCACGCCGCGGUGAAUAUGUUCCUGAGCCUUGUACACACCGCCCGUCAAGCCACGAGAAUUCGGGAUACCCGAAGUCGCUCACCCAACCGCAAGGGGGGAGGCGCCGAAGGUGAACCGGGUGAUCGGGACUAAGUCGUAACAAGGUA
rnacentral:rRNA from 1 species